CAAUUGGGAAACUGAAUUUUCUCUCUCUUCCUCCCGCGUCCGAGCUCGACCGGAACGACUGCAAAUUCUUCUCCGGCCAAGUUCUCCACCAUCCGGCCACCAAUCCUCACCAAAUUUCUUCCAUUGGCUUCGUAUGAUCCUUGCGCACCCAUCUGUGGUGGCCUUGCACGGCGGCGCGGCCUGUGGCGGCGGCUGCGAGCUUGUUUCGAUUUGAGUUCGAUUUUAGUCAACGCCGGUUUUCUCCUAGCUCCAGCCACCAAAACUUCCGAUCCUUAGCUCCAUUAACUCACCUCAACUUGCUGAUCAUCAUACUAGAAGGAUCACACCUGGAGUGACCGGUUUCACGUUCGUCGGAGCUCGACCGGUUUUCGAUCCGAAACCAAAACCUUUCGAUUGUGAUAUCUCGAGCUGUAGUGCAUCGUUUUGAUUGAUUCUUGAACCAGUGAGUUCGCCUUGAUAUUCUUAACAACUCUCUAGAAGGAAUCGAGGCCUGAAAUUGAAGUUUUUACAUCGAAAAUCAAGCUCGCCAGUUUCUGCAUUUCUUCGCCGGUUUCUGGAAAAAUUCCGGCCACCUUCAUACUAUUCUAGGUGAUUGACGGUCUUCCUUGGUGAGCGGUUUUGGCGUAUUUUGUGAAAUUGAAGACGCAGCGGGAUUAGAGCGGGUAAUCCUGCAGGUUAGGAGAAUCAGGGCGGUGAUCCUGCGGGUUAGAGUAAUUGUUAUAGUUUUACAGUGAUUGUAAUAGUGAGGUGAGUUAAGCUCAAUUGAGCCUUACAAUUUGAUUUGGUGAGAAUGUGCUGUAAUAAAUAACUUGAGAAUUUUGGUUUAUCAUUUUAUUAAGAGGUGUGAAGUGUGGUUGCUUGUGAGAAAAUAAACUCAGGAUGUUAUUUGUAAUUUUUUUAUUUUUCAUGCUUCGGAUUUGAAUUUGUUAUUCAAAAUUCGGGGCGUGACAGUCAGAGAGGCCGAUAAGCGAUAAAGAUGAAAUUCAAUCAAGCAGUAUUUCAAUCGACUUGAAAUUCAUGUCAGCCGAUGGGGAGAGUUCAAUCCAAGAUAGCCUACUUCAAGAUUAAUUGCAGCCGUUGAUGACGUCCAUCAAAGCCAAUCCGGAUAGAGUCCAGUGUCAAGUCAGCCGACGAUAAGUAUUGAAGCCGAAUCAAGAUAGAGUCACUGAGCCAAGAGGAG